rnacentral:rRNA from 1 species
AUUGAACGCUGGCGGCAGGCUUAACACAUGCAAGUCGAGCGGAGCGAGGGUGCUUGCACCUUAGCUUAGCGGCGGACGGGUGAGUAAUGCUUAGGAAUCUGCCUAUUAGUGGGGGACAACAUUCCGAAAGGAAUGCUAAUACCGCAUACGCCCUACGGGGGAAAGCAGGGGAUCUUCGGACCUUGCGCUAAUAGAUGAGCCUAAGUCGGAUUAGCUAGUUGGUGGGGUAAAGGCCUACCAAGGCGACGAUCUGUAGCGGGUCUGAGAGGAUGAUCCGCCACACUGGGACUGAGACACGGCCCAGACUCCUACGGGAGGCAGCAGUGGGGAAUAUUGGACAAUGGGCGGAAGCCUGAUCCGGCCAUGCCGCGUGUGUAAAGAAGGCCUUUUGGUUGUAAAGCACUUUAAGCGAGGAGGAGGCUACUUAGAUUAAUACUCUAGGAUAGUGGACGUACUCGCAGAUAGCCC